AACGAACGCUGGCGGCAGGCUUAAUACAUGCAAGUCGAGCGGGCACUUCGGUGUCAGCGGCGCACGGGUGCGUAACGCGUGGGAACAUGCCUUUAGGUACGGAACAACCAAGGGAAACUUUGGCUAAUACCGUAUAAUAUCUCUGGAUCAAAGAUUUAUCGCCUAAAGAUUGGCCCGCGUUAGAUUAGGUAGUUGGUGGGGUAAUGGCCUACCAAGCCGACGAUCUAUAGGGGGUCUGAGAGGAUGAUCCCCCACACUGGAACUGAGACACGGUCCAGACUCCUACGGGAGGCAGCAGUAAGGAAUAUUGGACAAUGGGCGAAAGCCUGAUCCAGCCAUGCCGCGUGAGUGAUGAAGGCCUUAGGGUUGUAAAGCUCUUUUAGAUGGGAAGAUAAUGACUGUACCAGCAGAAUAAGCCCCGGCUAAAUUCGU
rnacentral:rRNA from 1 species